rnacentral:tRNA from 1 species
GGGGUCGUAGUUAAGUUUGGUUAUAACGCCGGCCUGUCACGUCGGAGGGCGUGGGUUCAAAUCCCAUCGGCCCCGCCA